UACGAAGGGGAGCUAGCGUUGCUCGGAAUUACUGGGCGUAAAGGGCGCGUAGGCGGAUGUCUAAGUUGGGGGUGAAAUCCCGGGGCUCAACCUCGGAACCGCCUUCAAUACUGGAUAUCUUGAGUUCGGGAGAGGUGAGUGGAAUGCCGAGUGUAGAGGUGAAAUUCGUAGAUAUUCGGCGGAACACCAGUGGCGAAGGCGACUCACUGGCCCGAUACUGACGCUGAGGCGCGAAAGCGUGGGGAGCGAACCGGG
rnacentral:rRNA from 1 species